GCUGGGGAUGAUAGAUUAGACCUGUAGUCAGUCCUCGCUACAGAGGAGGCUGAGGUGGAGGCUGAAGGAUUUCUGGAGUUCAGGAGUUCUGUGCUGAAGCAGAGCUAAAGCUGUUUGGGUGUCCGCACUAAAUCUGGCACCAAUAUGAUAAGCCUCUGGGAAUGGGGGACCUCUAGGCUGCCAAGGGAGGGUUGAAAUGUCCCAGGUCAGAAAAACAGAGCAAAUGAAAGCUUCUCUGCUGAUCAGCAGUGGGAUUACAGUCAAGCUGUAAUUGGCUGCCAUACUUUCAGCCUGGGCAAGAGAGGGAGACCAGCCUCAA
ensembl:misc_RNA Metazoa_SRP Metazoan signal recognition particle RNA